rnacentral:rRNA from 1 species
UACGAAGGGGGCUAGCGUUGUCCGGAAUUAUUGGGCGUAAAGCGCGCGCAGGUGGUUUCUUAAGUCUGAUGUGAAAGCCCACGGCUCAACCGUGGAGGGUCAUUGGAAACUGGGGAACUUGAGUGCAGAAGAGGAAAGUGGAAUUCCAAGUGUAGCGGUGAAAUGCGUAGAGAUUUGGAGGAACACCAGUGGCGAAGGCGACUUUCUGGUCUGUAACUGACACUGAGGCGCG